rnacentral:rRNA from 1 species
UACGGGAGGCAGCAGGGGGGAAUAUUGCACAAUGGGCGCAAGCCUGAUGCAGCCAUGCCGCGUGUAUGAAAAAGGCCUUCGGGUUGUAAAGUACUUUCAGUCGUGAGGAAGGUGUUAAGGUUAAUAACCUUAGCAAUUGACGUUAGCGACAGAAGAAGCACCGGCUAACUCCGUGCCAGCAGCCGCGGUAAUACGGAGGGUGCGAGCGUUAAUCGGAAUUACUGGGCGUAAAGGGCACGCAGGCGGUUAAUUAAGUUGGAUGUGAAAUCCCCGGGCUUAACCUGGGAAUGGCAUUCAAGACUGGUUAGCUAGAGUCUUGUAGAGGGGGUAGAAUUCCAUGUGUAGCGGUGAAAUGCGUAGAGAUGUGGAGGAAUACCGGUGGCGAAGGCGGCCCCUGGACAAAGACUGACGCUCAUGUGCGAAAGCGUGGGGAGCAAACAGGGAUUAGAUACC